CCUACGGGGGGCAGCAGUGGGGAAUAUUGCACAAUGGGGGAAACCCUGAUGCAGCGACGCCGCGUGAGUGAAGAAGGGUUUCGGCGCGUAAAGCUCUGUCAGCGGGGAAGAAACACGGUUCGCGAGAGCCGCGGACGGUACCCGACCAAGAAGCCCCGGCUAACUACGUGCCAGCAGCCGCGGUAAUACGUAGGUGGCAAGCGUUGUCCGGAUUUACUGGGUGUAAAGGGCGUGUAGCCGGGCUGACAAGUCAGAUGUGAAAUCCCGUGGCUCAACCACGGAACUGCAUUUGAAACUGUCGGUCUUGAGUAUCGGAGAGGCAGGCGGAAUUCCUAGUGUAGCGGUGAAAUGCGUAGAUAUUAGGAGGAACACCGGCGGCGAAGGCGGCUUACUGGACUGUAACUGACGUUGAGGCUCGAAGGCGUGGGGAGCAAACAGGAUUAGAUACCCCAGUAGUC
rnacentral:rRNA from 1 species